ensembl:snRNA U6 U6 spliceosomal RNA
GUGAUCACUUCAGCAGCACAUACACUAAAACUGGAAUGAUACAGAGAAGAUUAGCAUGGCCCCUGUGCAAGGACAUGCAAAUUCAUGAAGCACUUCAUAUUUUU